AAUAAUUUCAUCCAGGGUCUCCACUUGGAAAUGAUCCAGGGCAUCAGUCAGAGAGCAUGGGGCUGAUGGAUCUUUAUUCAGAAUUGUUACAGAAAGUCUGAGCAUUUGGUGGACUCAGCCAGAAUGAUGCCCUCCACAGACAAGCACUGGCAUGGGUUUCAGGAAUGCUACCUCAAUUUUACAAUCUUGCUCUUCAAGUACACAUGGUUUACAUAUUCAGUCACUGCAUCUUGGCUGGCAAAACUCAUUCUCUGAUCAUGGAAAGACAUUUGUCUUGGAAACAGAAAAACAUGAAAAGCAGCUGCACAUAAAAACAGAGGAAGAGAAAAGCUAAAUAUAUAUGCCCACAAAAAGAAGCCUUAG